rnacentral:rRNA from 1 species
GUAGGUGGCAAGCGUUGUCCGGAAUNAUUGGGCGUAAAGAGCAUGUAGGCGGGCUUUUAAGUCCGACGUGAAAAUGCGGGGCUUAACCCCGUAUGGCGUUGGAUACUGGAAGUCUUGAGUGCAGGAGAGGAAAGGGGAAUUCCCAGUGUAGCGGUGAAAUGCGUAGAUAUUAGGAGGAACACCAGUGGCGAAGGCGGCUUACUGGACUGUAACUGACGUUGAGGCUCGAAAGCGUGGGGAGCAAACAGGAUUAGAUACCCUGGUAGUCCACGCCGUAAACGAUGAUUACUAGGUGUUGGUGGGUACGACCCAUCGGUGCCGCAGCAAACGCAAUAAGUAAUCCACCUGGGGAGU